rnacentral:rRNA from 1 species
GAUGAACGCUAGCGGGAGGCCUAACACAUGCAAGCCGAGCGGUAUGGGUAGCUUGCUACCCAGAGAGCGGCGUACGGGUGCGUAACACGUGUGCAACCUGCCCCUAUCCGGGGGAUAGCCCUCCGAAAGGAGGAUUAAUACCCCAUAAUAUAUCUGGUGGCAUCACUAGAUAUUGAAAACCCCGGUGGAUAGGGAUGGGCACGCGCAAGAUUAGAUAGUUGGCGGGGUAACGGCCCACCAAGUCGAUGAUCUUUAGGGGUCCUGAGAGGGAGAUCCCCCACACUGGUACUGAGACACGGUCCAGACUCCUACGGGAGGCAGCAGUGAGGAAUAUUGGACAAUGGGUGGAAGCCUGAUCCAGCCAUCCCGCGUGAGGGACGACGGCCCUAUGGGUUGUAAACCUCUUUUGUACGGGGAUAAACCUAUCUACGUGUAGAUAGCUGAAGGUACCGUACGAAUAAGCACCGGCUAACUCCGUG